GAAGCAGGCGAAUAUUCCUGCACCAGCACGGAUGGUUUUGUAAGGUGGGACGGAGGAGGAUAGCCGAGCGACCUGAUGGAUGGUCGUUCAAGCCGGUAGGCGGCUCGCGUAGGAGGCAUCUGGCCACAAACGCGCGGGCAACGCCGAGGGGUGAUGAGGGUCGCCGCAAGGCGGACAACUCGGUGAGUCCAAGCUUCCAAGAAAAGCAUCGUACAAGUGUACCGCUGUGCUGACCGUACCGUAAACCGACACAGGUGGGUGGGGAGAACAUCCCAAGGCGCUUGAGAGAACUCGGGUUAAGGAACUCGGCAAAUUGACACCGUAACUUCGGGAGAAGGUGUGCCCUUGAGGGUGACGGGCCUCGCGCCAUGAGCCUUUGGGGGUUGCAGAGAAUCGGGGGUAGCGACUGUUUACCAAAAACACAGGACUCUGCGAAGUCGCAAGACGACGUAUAGGGUCUGACGCCUGCCCGGUGCCGGAAGGUUAACAGGAGAUGUCAGCGCAAGCGAAGCAUCGAAUCGAAGCCCCGGUAAACGGCGGCCGUAACUAUAACGGUCCUAAGGUAGCGAAAUUCCUUGGCGGGUAAGUUCCGUCCUGCACGAAUGGCGUAACGACUUCCCCACUGUCUCGACCCGGGACUCAGCGAAAUUGAAAUCGGGGUGAAGAUGCCCCGUACCCGCGGCAAGACGGAAAGACCCCGUGAACCUUUACUGCAGCUUGGCACUGGUUUUCGGACUUGUCUGUGUAGGAUAGGUGGGAGGCUAUGAUGUGGGGCCGCUAGGUUCCACGGAGCCAACGUUGAAAUACCACCCUGAGAAGUCUGAAAGCCUAACCGUGACCAGUGAGCCUGGUCCGGGACACUGCCUGGUGGGUAGUUUGACUGGGGCGGUCACCUCCGAAAGAGUAACGGAGGCGCGCAAAGGUUCCCUCAGGCUGAUUGGAAACCAGCCGAAGAGUGUAAAGGCAUAAGGGAGCUUGACUGCGACUCAUACAAGAGGAGCAGGCACGAAAGUGGGCCUUAGUGAUCCGGUGGUUCUGAAUGGAAGGGCCAUCGCUCAACGGAUAAAAGGUACUCCGGGGAUAACAGGCUUAUCACGCCCAAGAGUUCACAUCGACGGCGUGGUUUGGCACCUCGAUGUCGGCUCAUCGCAUCCUGGGGCUGUAGUAGGUCCCAAGGGUUUGGCUGUUCGCCAAUUAAAGCGGUACGCGAGCUGGGUUCAAAACGUCGUGAGACAGUUUGGUCCCUAUCUGCCGUGGGCGCAGGAAUCUUGAAGUGGAGCUGUCCCUAGUACGAGAGGACCGGGAUGGACAGACCCCUGGUGUUUCGGUUGUUUUGCCAAGAGCAUUGCCGAGUAGCCAUGUCUGGAAC
rnacentral:rRNA from 1 species